rnacentral:rRNA from 1 species
CACGUAGGCACCAAGCGUUGUCCGGAUUUAUUGGGCGUAAAGAGCUCGUAGGCGGUUGAGUAAGUCGGGUGUGAAAACUCUGGGCUUAACCCAGAGCCGCCACCCGAUACUGCUCUGACUUGAGUUCGGUAGGGGAGCAGGGAAUUCCUAGUGUAGCGGUGAAAUGCGCAGAUACUAGGAGGAACACCGGUGGCGAAGGCGCUGCUCUGGGCCGAUACUGACGCUGAGGAGCGAAAGCGUGGGUAGCAAACAGG